rnacentral:tRNA from 1 species
UCCCUGGUAGUCCAGUGGCUAGGACUCCUCAUUUCCAGUGCAGGGAGCCUGGGUUCAAUCCCUGGUUAGAGAA